GAUGAACGCUAGCGGCAGGCCUAAUACAUGCAAGUCGAACGGUGUCUUCGGACAUAGUGGCGCACGGGUGCGUAACACGUAUGCAACCUACCUUACAUUGGGGGAUAGCCUUUCGAAAGGGAGAUUAAUACCGCAUAAGACAGUAGCUGGGCAUCCAGCAGCUGUUAAAGAUUUAUCGAUGUAAGCUGGGCAUGCGUCCAAUUGGCUAGUUGGUGAGGUAACGGCUCACCAAGGCAAUGAUUGGUAGGGGAACUGAGAGGUCAAUCCCCCACACUGGAACUGAGAGACGGGCCAGACUCCUACGGGAGGCAGCAGUAGGGAAUAUUGGGCAAGGGACGCAAGUCUGACCCAGCCAGGCCGCGUGCAGGAUGAAGGCGUUAUGCGUUGUAAACUGCUUUUAUACAGGAAGAAACGACUCUUGCGAGAGGCAUUGACGGUACUGUAUGAAUAAGCACCGGCUAACUCCGUGCCAGCCGCCGCGGUAAUAC
rnacentral:rRNA from 1 species